GGGAAAACGAUUGCCCCAAAAAUACUGUUACAUCUCCCCAAAAACUCAAUAAAAAUGAGUGUUGGAAAAUGUGCAACGGAGUUGGUGCCAGCCUCCUGAAAAUCGAAGACGUGUUUAUGAACAAGUACCUCAACUCGACGUUGUUGUAUGUCCGAUCCAAUAUUGUAGAACGAUGCCGUAUCAGACGUCGCUCCCAAACCGGUCAACAUCCACCAAUAUAACUCAUUCCGCAAGAAUGAAAGGUACAGUUUGAAAACUUACCAAAGUUAUCUGGUGGAUUUCAAAACGUUGGUCAGCAGCCGUCGAGGAUCGUCAUGAUGUACUGAUGUAGUACGAAAAGUUAUUAUUGGAACGGACAUAAUAUUACGUUGAGAAACUACCUGUUCAUAACACACUUUUGGUUUUUUGGCCAAUUCCGUUUCCA